UGUCAGGUGGUUUAGUGGUUAGAGGAUUAGACUAUGACUCUGGAGGCCAGGGUUUAAAUCCCAGGCUUGGCUG